UACGUAGGGUCCGAGCGUUGUCCGGAAUUAUUGGGCGUAAAGAGCUCGUAGGCGGUCUGUUGCGUCGGCUGUGAAAACCCGGGGCUCAACUCCGGGCCUGCAGUGGGUACGGGCAGACUAGAGUGCGGUAGGGGAGAUUGGAAUUCCUGGUGUAGCGGUGGAAUGCGCAGAUAUCAGGAGGAACACCAAUGGCGAAGGCAGAUCUCUGGGCCGUAACUGACGCUGAGGAGCGAAAGCAUGGGGAGCGAACAGG
rnacentral:rRNA from 1 species